rnacentral:rRNA from 1 species
UACGUAGGGGGCAAGCGUUGUCCGGAAUCAUUGGGCGUAAAGAGCUCGUAGGCGGUUUGUCGCGUCUGCCGUGAAAGUCCGGGCUCAACUCCGGAUCUGCGGUGGGUACGGGCAGACUAGAGUGAUGUAGGGGAGACUGGAAUUCCUGGUGUAGCGGUGGAAUGCGCAGAUAUCAGGAGGAACACCGGUGGCGAAGGCGGGUCUCUGGGCAGUAACUGACGCUGAGGAGCGAAAGCGUGGGGAGCGAACAGG